UAACCCCUUUUAAGUUUUUUUCUAGCAGUAGUGGCCUUUAUUUGCAGUAGAUUAGACAGGAAAUGGGCAGAGAGAGAACAGGGGAAGACAUGCAGCAGACGGAUGCUUCUAGGACUAAUAGCCUCAAUAUGAGGCGGCCGCUCUUCCUCUACACCGGCCCAUCAGUGGAAAGAAGUUUAAUCUAUCAGUUAUUUACCAUUAAACUGUUUCCAAGUGAUUGCUUUGGGGAAAAGAAAUAUUUCUCCACAACCAAUAAUGUACCAAUAUUGUAAUAUUUUUGUUGCCAAUAUCAGUGUAGCAGGCAAACCAACAGCUAUUUAGACGGUUCACCAAUGAUAAGAAGCUGAAUAAACUAAACAUAAUGAACCAGUGCUCAGUUCUUCUUCUUUAAUCUGUAUUUUGUCUGAAAAAGUAAACAAAAAAAGCAUUCACAUUCACACAGCGUUUAUAACCAAAGCUUAUUUACAUCCAUUUGUGCUCUCCUGUUUCUUUUUGCUCACAGAAACUGAACCUUUAUGUGGAAGAUUUCCCAAAACAGCUGCUCUCAUUCCCGUACUUUAACUAAAUCUCAACAUUUGAUGGAAAAGUUAUGGAUUAAGACUUAGAUUUGCAAUCAACGCCAUCAGUUUGGUAUUCAUCUUUAAUGAAAGUUUGAUGCAUUACAUUUUGUGGCUUUGGGCUUGUGUUCCCAGUGGACCUUCCAUACCUGCCAUAUGGCAGCAUGUUCCCACUAAGACGCAUCCAUAAUGGGGCUAUCAAGAAGCAGUACUGAUUAGUUUUUUCUAUUUAGACUCACAUAUUAGACUUUUUUGCAUAAUUCUCAGAAACAACCACCCAGCGAUCCGCUCCAUGCCUCCCUCUGUUCCAUGAAGCUAGCUUUAUUUGUAAAAGAUCAGGUUUUUGCAGAACCUGGAUGGUUUUUCUGGUGAUUUAUACUGAACCAGAAUCCGUUAAAGGAGCAGA